rnacentral:rRNA from 2 species
AAGGCACGCUGACAUGUAGGUGAAGUGAUUUACUCAUGGAGCUGAAGUCAGUCGAAGAUACCAGCUGGCUGCAACUGUUUAUUAAAAACACAGCACUGUGCAAACACGAAAGUGGACGUAUACGGUGUGACGCCUGCCCGGUGCCGGAAGGUUAAUUGAUGGGGUCAGCGCAAGCGAAGCUCCUGAUCGAAGCCCCGGUAAACGGCGGCCGUAACUAUAACGGUCCUAAGGUAGCGAAAUUCCUUGUCGGGUAAGUUCCGACCUGCACGAAUGGCGUAAUGAUGGCCAGGCUGUCUCCACCCGAGACUCAGUGAAAUUGAACUCGCUGUGAAGAUGCAGUGUACCCGCGGCAAGACGGAAAGACCCCGUGAACCUUUACUAUAGCUUGACACUGAACAUUGAGCCUUGAUGUGUAGGAUAGGUGGGAGGCUUUGAAGUGUGGACGCCAGUCUGCAUGGAGCCGACCUUGAAAUACCACCCUUUAAUGUUUGAUGUUCUAACGUGGACCCGUGAUCCGGGUUGCGGACAGUGUCUGGUGGGUAGUUUGACUGGGGCGGUCUCCUCCUAAAGAGUAACGGAGGAGCACGAAGGUUGGCUAAUCCUGGUCGGACAUCAGGAGGUUAGUGCAAUGGCAUAAGCCAGCUUGACUGCGAGCGUGACGGCGCGAGCAGGUGCGAAAGCAGGUCAUAGUGAUCCGGUGGUUCUGAAUGGAAGGGCCAUCGCUCAACGGAUAAAAGGUACUCCGGGGAUAACAGGCUGAUACCGCCCAAGAGUUCAUAUCGACGGCGGUGUUUGGCACCUCGAUGUCGGCUCAUCACAUCCUGGGGCUGAAGUAGGUCCCAAGGGUAUGGCUGUUCGCCAUUUAAAGUGGUACGCGAGCUGGGUUUAGAACGUCGUGAGACAGUUCGGUCCCUAUCUGCCGUGGGCGCUGGAGAACUGAGGGGGGCUGCUCCUAGUACGAGAGGACCGGAGUGGACGCAUCACUGGUGUUCGGGUUGUCAUGCCAAUGGCACUGCCCGGUAGCUAAAUGCGGAAGAGAUAAGUGCUGAAAGCAUCUAAGCACGAAACUUGCCCCGAGAUGAGUUCUCCCUGAGACUUUAGGUCUCCUGAAGGAACGUUGAAGACGACGACGUUGAUAGGCCGGGUGUGUAAGCGCAGCGAUGCGUUGAGCUAACCGGUACUAAUGAACCGUGAGGCUUAACCUUACA